GUUAUGUUCAUGUUAUCAUCUAAUGGCGGAGAAUGAUUUGUUGUACUGGUGAAGUCAGCCUUUACUAUAAUAAUAGAAACGUAAGAUGUUUAAAAGUGUUAUUUUGGUGUGAUCUAAACAGCAGAAAUUCGGCUGAAUACGGAAUAAAACUUUGAGAGUGUUGUAUUAUAUUGCAGUUGUUUUGGGUAGUUCCGCAAAACUGGGUUGCAAAUUUUUCGAAGUGACGCUAGUGAUGGCUGUGUUUCACUGACCCCGCGUUUCAGCCUCCUAUUACCAGGAUGUCCAUACAACGCUAUUGUAAGCAUUAUGAUCGUGGAACAGCAUAAUGAAACUAAAGAGCGAGUGAUUUUGUUUAGAAAGGUGCAAGCAAAGAAAAACAUUGAAAGUAAAUCGUGUCAGUCAACAUUUUAUUUGGCAUAUUUGGAUAUUAAAUGCUAGAGUGGAGAAGUUUUUGAAAGUUUAAAGAGAAUUGUUCUCAAGCGUGUUUGGCUGUAUAUUGGGAGGAGUGUACUUUCAAGUAAACCAUCCCAUUUAUUUAUAUAUUUAUCUCUUGGUCUUCUAAAUUUUGCCUUCAUAGUGCAGUAUGAAUAAAUUAUUUUCCUUCUUCCCAGUAUCUCUGCUAAAAUGUAAAAAUUGAAGGAGAUAAACUGAUGGUGCAAGUUCUAGAAUAUGACAGAUGUACUCUCUUCCAGUUGACACACAGCAGUUCAGUGUGCAGCCUUCAUUGUCAUGUCUCGCUAUUGAGAAACCUGCACAAGAGGGAUCUUCGUGGCAUUUUUAUCUCCAAAUGAUUAAAUUACUAAUAUUGAAAGCAACACAUCGACUUUGAAUUUAGCCCAGCAGAAUUCAUAAUUUGCAGAGAUUGCAUGUGGUACCAAAAUGAGUAGUGCUGAUCCUGCCUUCUUCCACAGCCAUCUGAGAGUCAAAAUUACAGUUCUCAUCCGCAUCAAAACAACAUAUUAUUAGAUCAAUCAGUGUAUUAUUAUUGGCUAUGAUGUGAUUCACCAGCCAGCAAGUGUUUGAAAGUGACAUGAGGGAAUCUUGGUUGGUUGUGAGAAUUUAUAGCAUGCAUGCUUCUUUUGUUGAGUACUGUAUUCUCCAUCCAUAUAUUUUGUAAGCGGGAAUUUUUAUUUAUUUAUUUAUGAAUUAAUAAUUUUUUGGCUGGUGGUGUGGAUAUUGAGCAUCUAGAUAUCAGACUUCAUACUGUAUAUGUAUAUAUAAUGACAAUGUCUGAUGUAAAGGUGUUAACCAUAUCUACGGAAACCAUUUCCAUUUUCGCUUUAAAAUUUGAUAAGAUAUUGUAUAUUUUAAUUUUUGUUUAUGCUUUUGUAACAUAUUUGUUUGGAAAACAAGUUUUAUGGAUCUCUAUAUAAUAAGUAUUUCCACCCAGUUUCAGCAAUUAUUUGUCAGUACAUUUGUAUUUUUAUUUUCACACUCAACUCUUAUGCCCAUAAUGGCAUUGUUAGAAAUUUAGAAACGAGAGCAGUGUUAAAAAAAAUGAUAUAAGCUUAGUUUGUAGGUCCAGAUAUUCAAAUACAAUUUAUGAUGAUAAUUUUUCAUCAGCAAUUUAAUUAUUAUGAAUUGAAAUAUAGUAACAGUAGGAAAGAUUUGAAUAAAUAAAUAAAGAGUAGUAAAUCUGAAUUUGAUUUGAAUCUGGUUUUUACUUUAUUUUGCUAUUUAUGGCGGAGCAGAAAAUUCAUGAGAUUUUCUUGCAUAUGAUUAUUUUAGCAAAGUAUGUUAGACUGUUGGCCAUAGAAAACACACUAAAAAAAUUUUUUUUAAGAUUCAUUACACAUGGACGAAAAUUUCCAAAAUAUCAUGAUCCAAUUAAUUUUACAUCAUAAGUGCGAAGUGUAAAUGAAACCAACUGUUCAGGAUAAUCUUAUCUAAAUUUGUAUGUUAAUUAGCUAAUUAUAUUUUGUAAUUUGAUAUUUAUAAUGUGAUGAAAUUUUAAAUAAAACA
rnacentral:misc_RNA from 1 species